CCAGGAAAGCAUGCAUUUCUAGGGCCA
rnacentral:piRNA from 1 species